AAGAUGGCGACCGGCGCACGGGUGAGUAACACGUAUCCAGCCUGCCGAUAACUCGGGGAUAGCCUUUCGAAAGAAAGAUUAAUACCCGAUGGCAUAAUAGAACCGCAUGGUUUGAUUAUUAAAGAAUUUCGGUUAUCGAUGGGGAUGCGUUCCAUUAGGCAGUUGGUGGGGUAACGGCCCACCAAACCUUCGAUGGAUAGGGGUUCUGAGAGGAAGGUCCCCCACAUUGGAACUGAGACACGGUCCAA
rnacentral:rRNA from 1 species